rnacentral:lncRNA from 1 species
GCAAAAUUGCCUCCCCUAAAGAUGCGCUCUUCAUAUAGAAUACGCCUGCCAAAUAUAUACAUGCCUUUACUGAAACUGAGCACAGGAAAUCCAAACUUAAGGAAAAGGAAAAAAUUAAAAUCCAAAAAGAAAUAGGUAAUGUGAUUUUUCAAAAUUGAUCUUUCAUUAUUUUCAUAUUCUUUUAGGGUCAUUUUUGCACAUGCAUAACCUUUAUUUCAGAGUUUGCAGUCCAAUAACUUUUGCUGAUUUAUCCAUAUAUAAUGCUACCUUUAGAGAAUUCAUGAAGGUUAACGAUUGUUUAGAUUGGAGUGGAGGGUAAUUUUUUCUAUAUCCACUUCAUCAUUGUCAAACCAAUACAGUUGACAUGUACCACUAGCCUCCUCUGCUGUUAAUCUCACAAAAAAUUUAUUUAUCAUCAUCAUCAUCGUUUAACAUCUGCCUUUAUAUACAUAUUUGACAGUUUGACUUUACUGUGAUUCAUGUUUGUUGGAAUUUUUAAUCAAAACAUAUUUAGUAAAGUCUUUGCUUGGAUAGAAUAUGGCUUCCUCUAUAAAUCUCAAACUUUCUGCCUAUUUUGUCAUGUUAUAAAGAUUGAACUCAGAAUAUAUUGCUGCUAAAGCAUUCCUAAAUAAUGUUCUUUUCAUCAGAGCUGAAACAGCUUUCUGUAAUCUAAACUUUUAGGCUUUCAGCACCGCCUCGACUGGCUUCUGUGCUGGUAGCACAUAAAAAGCACCAUCCGAACGUGGCCGAUGCCAGCGCCGCCUUGGCUGGCUUCCGUGCCGGUGGCACGUUAAAAGCACCAACCGAUCAUAGCCGAUGCCAGACUCCCAUGGCACCUGUGCCGGUGGCACGUAAAAAGCACCCACUACACUCGCGGAGUGGUUGGCGUUAGGAAGGGCAUCAAGCUGUAGAAACACUGCCAGAUCAGACUGGAGCCUGGUGCAGCCUUCUGGCUUCCCAAACCCUGGUCGAACCAUUCAACCCGUGCUAGCGCGGAAAACGGACGUUAAACGAUGAUGAUGAUGAUGAUGAUGAUUAGGAAAAGGAAAUUUUAGCAUAAAGAAAAAGUGAGACAGCUUAUUGAGGACACAGACAAAAUUAAAAGAGCUAAAUUAACAAAUCUUAUGAAACAGUGUACAAUUUGCAUGGAUCAUAUAAUAGUUACUGUCGUAGAAUUUAUUUUUGUUAAAGUCAAAAUUUUUCUUUCCUUCAAAUUUCAUAUAUAUAUCAAAGCCGCUAAUUUGGCCAGCCAUGUAAGGGGCUUGAAGACCAACUCCACGCCACAUAGAAUUAAGUGGAGAAUCAUAGAAAAUUUCAUACCAUAUAUUAAUGAAUCUAAAAAAAUGCAAGUUAUGCAUAGAUGAAAAGUCACACAUACUUUUUAGAUCUAAGAAUUCCACCACACUGCUGAAUUCCAGCUCAGAAAUUGUCAGCAGAUGUGAACAUAUGGACAUGUUUCUUUUGGUGAGCUGGAGAUCACCACCCUCUCCAGAUUGAGGAGACUUUAGAUCCCUUCCAUUAAUUCUACAUCAAUUAGCUUUAUGGCUUUACAGUCUAAAGGAACAUAACUCUAAGUCUUUUUUUUUCUCCUUUCUUUCAGCCUUCCACUUUAUGCAUCCACCUUCCUCUCAUUUUUUCUCAUGAUUUGUCUUAUUCUAUUGUCCUGAUUGGUAACUGGUAUAGUAGGGUGGAGUGAAAAUUAAAAAAAUUGUGGAAAUUGAAAAUGCCUGAGAGCUAAAAUGUUUCUAUAUUUGAUUACUAGAAAAAUGCUAAAUUUUCGCUGAGAUCAAUCAAGGGCAUUUACUUCCUCAAGCCUCCUAAACUCUGAAAAUGGGGGAUUUUUGUAAAUUUUUUACAAUAACAGAGUUUGUGGGGUUUGAGGGAGUAAAUGCCCUUGACUGAUCUAAGCAAAUUUCCACAAUUUUUUAUUUUCACUCCACCCUAACACACAUGUAUGUGUGAGCAGGUAUAUAGAUUGUGUAAUCUAGGGUGAAGUGAAAAUAAAAAAUUGUUGAAACUGAAAAUGCCUGUAGCCUAAAAUCUUGCCAUAUAUUAUGACUAGGAAAAUGCUAAAUUUUUGCUUAGAUCAAGAGCAUUUACUUCCUCAAACCCUGCAAACACCGCUAGUGUAAAAAAUUUACUAAAAUCUCCCAUUUUCUGAGUUUAGGGGGCUUGUGGGAGGAAAUCUCCUUGAUUGAUCUCAGUUAAAAUUUAGCAUUUUUCUAGUAAUCAAAUAGCAAUAUUUUAGCCCUCAGGUAUUUUCAAUUUCCACAAUUUUUUAUUUUCAUUCCACCCUACUUUGUAGAACAUAUACUCAGAGCAUGAGGAUUGCUUGGAGACACUAGGCAUGUUAUUAAAACCUGCCUAGAAAACAUCUCCAAAGUAUGAAACUAUUAGUAGCUCGUAAUUAUAUGCUGUGUACAUUAAACAAUACUCAUCUCUCAUUAGAUGGAGUACUUUUUUUGUUAAUAUUAACUUAAUGGAAAAGUAAACUAUAUAUUGAUACAUAUAUAUUUUUUUGUUUUUUUUUAGAAAAAUCUGGAUGACCACAGAGGAGCAAACUUCCAUAAUAUAAUGCGCACAGACAUACAAACACACACACACACACUUGUACCCACAUGUGCACAUUCACACACACACACAUAGAGUAUGGAGAUAUGUAAAUUAAAGUACAUUGUAUGAUUGUUAUUUCUAGUCUUAUUUGUAAGUAAAUAUUCAUUGCCUUUGUAGAAUAGCACUCGGCACGCUAAACCUUAAAUUUCGUAAAUAUAAGUUUAUUUCAUUAAUUAGUUUAAAAUGUGUAGGAAUCAUUGAGCCGAAAUACUCUUUGCUGACGAACUUUCAUGAAAAUCUUUUUUUUUUUUUUUUUUUUUUUGAUAUUCUAACUAUUUGUUUUCAUUCACUGAAAUAAUGUCAUCAUGGAAAUAAAUAGAAAUUUUUAGAUAUGCC